rnacentral:lncRNA from 1 species
CCCAAGCCAUAUUUAGCAAAGUUGAAACCAUCAACUUUGCGACAUAGAUGGCCGGCCAAGGGGUGGCUCUUUGGCUGCUAUUCUUAGCAAAUUUUAGCUAUUACAUUCAGCUAUAAAAACCCCCUUGACUGAUCAUUCAAAGCACACCUCAAUUCAUUCACAUCUCUUCUCUCCUCUCUCACUUUCUCCUCUCAUUUUCCCAUUUCAAGUCCCUUGCUCUUCUGCUAAUUUCUCCCCUUGGGAAA